rnacentral:tRNA from 2 species
GCGCCCGUAGCUCAGUGGAUAGAGCAGUGCCCUCCUAAGGCAUGUGCGGAGGUUCGACUCCUCUCGGGUGCGCCA